rnacentral:misc_RNA from 1 species
AGCAGCCGCGGUAAUUCCAGCUCCAAUAGCGUAUAUUAAAGUUGCUGCAGUUAAAAAGCUCGUAGUUGAAUUUCGGGACUAAUAUGUCGGUCGUGCCUCGGUACGCACUGGCAUUAUUGGUUCUCCCUUCUGACGAACCAUGAUGUCAUUAAUUUGGUGUCUUGGGGAAUCAGGACUGUUACUUUGAAAAAUUAGAGUGUUUAAAGCAGGCUAACGCUUGAAUACAUUAGCAUGGAAUAAUGAAAUAGGACGUUUGAUCCUAUUUUGUUGGUUUCUAGGAUCGACGUAAUGAUUAAUAGGGAUAGUUGGGGGCAUUAGUAUUCAAUUGUCAGAGGUGAAAUUCUUGGAUUUAUUGAAGACUAACUACUGCGAAAGCAUUUGCCAAGGAUGUUUUCAUUAAUCAAGAACGAAAGUUAGGGGAUCGAAGACGAUCAGAUACCGUCGUAGUCUUAACCAUAAACUAUGCGACUAGGGAUCGGAUGAUGUUAAUUUUAAUGUACUCAUUC